rnacentral:rRNA from 1 species
AUUGAACGCUGGCGGCAUGCCUAACACAUGCAAGUCGAGCGGAUGAAGGGAGCUUUCUCCUGGAUUCAGCGGCGGACGGGUGAGUAAUGCCUAGGAAUCUGCCUGGUAGUGGGGGAUAACGUCCGGAAACGGGCGCUAAUACCGCAUACGUCCUGAGCGAGAAAGUGGGGGAUCUUCGGACCUCACGCUAUCAGAUGAGCCUAGGUCGGAUUAGCUAGUUGGUGGGGUAAAGGCCUACCAAGGCGACGAUCCGUAACUGGUCUGAGAGGAUGAUCAGUCACACUGGAACUGAGACACGGUCCAGACUCCUACGGGAGGCAGCAGUGGGGAAUAUUGGACAAUGGGCGAAAGCCUGAUCCAGCAAUGCCGCGUGUGUGAAGAAGGUCUUCGGAUUGUAAAGCACUUUAAGUUGGGAGGAAGGGCAGUAAGUUAAUACCUUGCUGUUUUGACGUUACCAACAGAAUAAGCACCGGCUAACUUCGUG